CUCCAUUCCUGAUGGAACGUUAUAAUAGCAAUUUAUCACCUCUAAAAGGAGUCAAGAGUAGGAGGAUUUAAGAGAAGCAAAUGCUGCUUUCUAGAGCAUCUGGCUUCUUGCCCAGGAGGAGUAGCUGUGCCCAGAAACCACUGGAGGCCACCAGCUGACUUGGAGAUGAAUGACCCCACCACAGGGUACCUGCCUGUCUCCUACCUUUGAAUGGUCUGCCUUUCCAACCAGCUUGCCUGGGGAUGUACCGCCCAGCUGGUGGCCUGACUAUUUUUCCUUGUGACCACCAGGGGAUCAAGUAUUUGC
rnacentral:lncRNA from 1 species